rnacentral:ncRNA from 1 species
AAUUUAAGAGCGCCAGAGCUUAUUUAGAGAAGAAAUUUUAUUUUAAAAGUUCUUUCUAAAGUAAGUUGACGAGGACUGGAGUUUAUCGAAAAUUCGGCGGAUACUCCAGAGGUGGUUACAGCCAUUACCAGUACAAAACUUUAAGACAACUUAAAGGACAAAGGGGUAAU